AAACUUUCAACAGCGGAUCUCUUGGCUCUGGCAUCGAUGAAGAACGCAGCGAAAUGCGAUAAGUAAUGUGAAUUGCAGAAUUCAGUGAAUCAUCGAAUCUUUGAACGCACAUUGCGCCCGCCAGUAUUCUGGCGGGCAUGCCUGUUCGAGCGUCAUUA
rnacentral:rRNA from 1 species